rnacentral:rRNA from 1 species
UACGUAGGGGCCGAGCGUUGUCCGGAGUUACUGGGCGUAAAGGGCGCGUAGGCGGCUUUAUAAGUCGGGGGUGAAAGCCUGUGGCUCAACCACAGAAUUGCCUUCGAUACUGUAGAGCUUGAGACCGGAAGAGGUAAGUGGAACUGCGAGUGUAGAGGUGAAAUUCGUAGAUAUUCGCAAGAACACCAGUGGCGAAGGCGGCUUACUGGUCCGGUUCUGACGCUGAGGCGCGAAAGCGUGGGGAGCAAACAGG